rnacentral:rRNA from 1 species
UACGGAGGAUCCAAGCGUUUAUCCGGAUUUAUUGGGUUUAAAGGGUGCGUAGGUGGCCUGUUAAGUCAGGGGUGAAAGACGGUAGCUUAACUAUCGCAGUGCCCUUGAUACUGAUGGGCUUGAAUAAACUAGAGGUAGGCGGAAUGUGACAAGUAGCGGUGAAAUGCAUAGAUAUGUCACAGAACACCAAUUGCGAAGGCAGCUUACUAUGGUUUUAUUGACACUGAGGCACGAAAGCGUGGGGAUCAAACAGG